UACGUAGGGGGCUAGCGUUGUCCGGAUUUAUUGGGCGUAAAGAGCUCGUAGGUGGUUCGGUAAGUCGGAUGUGAAAUCUCCAGGCUCAACCUGGAGGGGUCAUUCGAUACUGCCGUGACUAGAGGUCGGUAGGGGAGUGUGGAAUUCCUGGUGGAGCGGUGAAAUGCGCAGAUAUCAGGAGGAACACCCGUAGCGAAGGCGGCACUCUGGGCCGAUACUGACACUGAGGAGCGAAAGCGUGGGGAGCGAACAGG
rnacentral:rRNA from 1 species